UUGACACGGGUACUAAUCACGUGACUUUUGUUGACACGCUGACCGAGUAAAAAAAGUAAUUUAGCGGUGUUUGUUUCUGUAUCUAAGCAGAGUAGUUUAGUUGAUGUCAAACAUACGAUUAUCUGUGAUAGUUGUGUAGCUAUUUGAACGAUUGGUACAAUCUGAAACACCUGCUGUCCGUGGUCGAUUCGUCUGAUCCCCAGUCCAAAUGUUAACUAGCUAGCACUGUGAUAGCUAGUUAUGGUUUUAUAUUGUUUAGGUUGCAACCAGUCUUUCUGACAUGGCGUCGCCUGCACCGGGAGUCCAGAACAAGAACCGUGUUGCCAUUUUGGCUGAUCUGGACAAGGAGAAGAGACACUUGAUACAUAACUCAGCCAUGAAUAACCCUGGAGCUAGACCUGCCCUGAAUAAAGCCUUCAGAGACCACACUGAGCAGCAGCGCAUCGCUGCCCAGCAGGAAGCAGCUCUGCAGCAUGCCCAUGCACACUCUUCUGGUUUCUUCAUCACUCAAGACUCGUCCUUCGGGAACCUCAUCCUCCCAGUGCUGCCACAACUAGACCCACCUUUACCAGCAGAAUAACAGAACCUUAAACAGGGCAGAAAGACCCAACGGGCUAAAAGCAGCAGGUGGCCAUGGUGUUACAGAUCAGCUGUUGUCGAAUGGCGUCGAUUCAACAUGUAGAAUCGUCGAGAAAAUUAACUGAAAUUGGCGGUCGAUAUUCCGGUCAGAGGUGAUAUGAAAUUGUAGGGCACCCGCUGCGUUUCAAGACAUUUAGCGGUUAGCUACUCUGGGUUUACCUUCCCUUCCACCACCAUGGAGACAUGGUGGAUGUGACAAAUGGAGAAUUUUUUGUUAACUUUAAAACUGCCUGUUUUUUUUUUUAUUGGUUUUCCUUAUGAAAAAUGAAUAAAAUUCCACAAUGCUGCUGCCGGCAACAGUUUGGGUCUGACGGUACGUCCCUUUCAGACGGUGAAGCAUUGUCCCAUGUACUACCAUUACUUUACCUCAAUUCCACCUCCCAAAGUUUGCUUUUCCUUCUCAAAGUAUUACCAUAAAGGACUUUGCUGCGGGCGCUUGCCUUUGACAUUUUUACAACUGUUAACGACGGUGAUGUAGUGGUGGAGAGUCGACUCCAAAAUAUUUGAUUCCUCGACUCCUUGCACACUCCCAUUUCUUCGUGUCAAGGAAUCGACUCCUACGAUUCAGUAUUUUUUUGAACGGAGGAGAUUGAUUUAGUUGCUGUACUUCCGAGAACAGAAACACUUGCAUCUUUCAUAGCGAGCGACGGAGAGGCACGUCAGCCACCAGA